rnacentral:rRNA from 1 species
UACGGAGGGUGCAAGCGUUAUCCGGAUUCACUGGGUUUAAAGGGUGCGUAGGUGGCUUGGUAAGUCAGUGGUGAAAGCCCGGAGCUCAACUCCGGAACUGCCAUUGAUACUGCUUAGCUUGAAUCAGGUCGAGGUGGAUGGAAUAUUACAUGUAGCGGUGAAAUGCUUAGAUAUGUAAUAGAACACCGAUUGCGAAGGCAGUUCACUAGGCCUGUAUUGACACUGAGGCACGAAAGCGUGGGGAGCAAGCAGG